rnacentral:rRNA from 1 species
GAGGAAUAUUGGGCAAUGCCCGCAAGGGUGACCCAGCAACGCCGCGUGGAGGAUGAAUGUCGUAAGAUUGUAAACUCCUGUUAGAGGGGAAGAAUAGUACCGGUUGGACCGGUAUAUGACUGUACCCUCAGAGAAAGCCCCGGCUAACUACGUGCCAGCAGCCGCGGUAAUACGUAGGGGGCAAGCGUUGUCCGGAUUUACUGGGUGUAAAGGGCGCGGAGGCGGGAUAAAAAGUCAGUGGUGAGAUCCUACAGCUUAACUGUAGAACUGCCUUUGAUACUGUUAUUCUUGAGUUCGGGAGAGAGAGACGGAAUUCCAGGUGUA